rnacentral:lncRNA from 1 species
CAUUCCUUCAGCCCAUGGAAACAUAUGACCUCCACCUUUCAUUUCAUGAUAAUGAACCCAUGGUAGUUUCUGCGCGACGUAUCGUUGUAGAAUGACAGGUACAUGACCAUCUUCAUCACCUUGCCAAAUGUGAACAGAGCCUUCGCCGUUAGGGAAAGGGUUCUCGAGUUCCAUUGGAUCGAAUUCCCAUGUCCCGAAACCUAUCAUUAUAUCCCGGUGAAGUGUCUCGUACUCCCCUUGUUGUCUUACCAGGUCCUAACAUCAAAAAGAAAAUUAACCAAAGUUAAUGGAGUAAUGUCACAGAACAUAAUACAGAGGUCUAAUCCUUGAAAAUUGCAAGCAGACUCAAGUAUGCAUUAGGCAAGAAAAUGUGCAGGACACAGUAAGUCAAGUAUAUGCUAAUCAAACUGUGAUCCUCUCUUAUGUCGAUGGCCAUUCACCUGUUUUUCUGUCCAAAUUGUCUUUUAUGGUCAAAGCUUGAUUCGGAAGUAGUAGUUCAAAAAUCUAUGUUGUGCAGACUCUCCAAAAUGUUGCCGCACCCGUGUUGGAUCUUCCAAAAAUAUACUACUUUUGGAGGAUCUGACACGCAUGCGGCAACAUUUUCGGAGAGCUCGAGCAAACAUAGCUUCAAAUUUACAUGCAAUGAAAUGAGGAUAUGCUAAGAAGCUAAACAAGUAACUUCUCCAUAUUAUAGCUUUAUAACAAAUGAGUCAGGUUCAUAUCGAAAGUAACAUAUGUCAUUACUGCACCAGAAACAAUAAUAAGAGUUUUAGCACAUAACCAUUCAUUACUUGAAUAAAGCAACUCAACAAUAAUUUGAUAAUAUUGACAAAUAUUCAAAUUUGUACAAUAACAAAGAGUCUGAAUCCAGUACUAAACAAGCCCCAUAGUACAGCUUUAUGGGUGUAUGUUGCAGCGACUCCCAAAAUGUUGCCACAUCCGUGUCGGCCCUCCAAAAAUGUACUACUUUUGAAGGAUUCGACAAGCACACGAUAUUUUUUGAGAGUCCGAGCAACGUAGCAAAGGGCUCUCCAAGUAUAUUUUCAUGACUUUAUAUAUCAUAGACAAUUUAACUGGUAUAUACUUGUUAAUAAAUAUUCAAAUGUUCAACGACAGAGUCGUUGAGUUCAAUACUAAACCAGCCCAUAGUAUAGUUUUAUAGAACAAAGGGCUCUCCAAGUAAGAAAGUCUUCAUAAUUUUAUCUCCCAUUCCUUCAGCCCAUGGAAACAUAUGACCUCCGCCUUUCAUUUCAUGAUAAUGAACCCAUGGUAGUUUUUGUGCGACGUAACGUUGUAGAAUGUAAGGUACAUGACCAUCUUCAUCACCUUGCCAAAUAUGAACAGAGCCUUCACCAUCAGGGAAAGGGUUUUCGAGUUCCAUAGGGUCGAAUUCCCAUGUCCCGAAACCUAUCAUUAGGUCGCGAUGGAUUGAUUCAUACUCCCCUUGUUGUCUUACCAGGUCCUAAUCUCAUCAGGAAAUUACCAAGGUUAAUUGAGAAAUGUAACAAAAUUCAGGAAUUUUUACACUAUCAGCAAGUGAUCACUCUAUCUUCUAGGUGAGAAAUAUCGAACUUGAUAUCAGGAGUUGCCUAUUUUUCGCAUCGAUGUUAAAAACCUAUACACUAUCAGUGGACAUAAAACUCAAUGAUUUUUAUGCUAAAACAUUGCCACACAACGAGAGUAAAGCAGAGUUAGUAACGAUAAUCCAAUAUUACAUUAUUUAGACUAAUGAUAUCAAAUUGCCAAUGACCACUAUCACAACUAACCUAUUUUUCUCUGCAAAUUGUCUAUUAUGGUAAGAUCUUGAGCAGUGAUAGAUCUAAAAUUUAUAACUGCUGGUUUUGAGCUAAAAGAGCGAGUUAUGCAAUGUAUAUUUAACUCUAUUUAUACUUAUCUUUCACACAUAAAUAUAGGGUUCGAAGGCGAAGCACUAACGAACCCAUUGUUGAAUCCGUCGGUGAUUCUUGAGCACAACAAAAACAACUACGUCUCAGUCCCAAUUAACAAGUUGGGGCCGGUCAAAUGAAUUCUCACCGACCAUGUUCUCCAUUUAAAUUCAAAUUAGUGUGUAAUGAAAUGAAAAUAUGCAAAGAGACUAAACAAGUGCUCACCCUAUAUUUACUCUGAUAGGAAUCAAAGAUAGGCAUUAGUACUCGG